CGAGGGGCAUCGGAUUGAAGCUUGCUUCAAUGCCGGCGACCGGCGCACGGGUGCGUAACGCGUAUGUACCUACCUAUAACAGGGGCAUAACACUGAGAAAUUGGUACUAAUUCCCCAUAAUGAGGCAUCUCGAAAACUCCGGUGGUUAUAGAUGGACAUGCGUUGUAUUAGCUAGUUGGUGAGGUAACGGCUCACCAAGGCAACGAUACAUAGGGGGACUGAGAGGUUAACCCCCACACUGGUACUGAGACACGGACCAGACUCCUACGGGAGGCAGCAGUGAGGAAUAUUGGUCAAUGGACGCAAGUCUGAACCAGCCAUGCCGCGUGCAGGAAGACGGCUUAUGAGUUGUAAACUGCUUUUGUACGAGGGUAACUCACCUACGUGUAGGUGACUGAAAGUAUCGUACGAAUAAGGAUCGGCUAACUCCGUGCCAGCAGCCGCGGUAAUACGGAGGAUUCAAGCGUUAUCCGGAUUUAUUGGGUUUAAAGGGUGCGUAGGCGGUUUGAUAAGUUAGAGGUGAAAUCCCGGGGCUUAACUCCGGAACUGCCUCUAAUACUGUUAGACUAGAGAGUAGUUGCGGUAGGCGGAAUGUAUGGUGUAGCGGUGAAAUGCUUAGAGAUCAUACAGAACACCGAUUGCGAAGGCAGCUUACCAAACUAUAUCUGACGUUGAGGCACGAAAGCGUGAGGAGCAAACAGGAUUAGAUACCCUGGUAGUCCACGCAGUAAACGAUGAUAACUCGUUGUCGG
rnacentral:rRNA from 1 species